GCCCAUUCUUUCCUUUCUCUUAUCAUGAAUGUGGCCUAUUAUUUUCUUAUAUGAAAAGCCCAUUACUUGUGUAAUAUAAUAGCCAUUCAUGUUUCACAAGAUAUGCAGCAAAUCAAUUCCUUAUACGUUUCUUUAUAUUCCUUUUAUUCACUAUUUCAGAAUCUAUUUCUUUCGUUUUUCUAUUCUGAAACCCUAGCCGCCAUUCUCUCUAGACAUUCCGAAACAUCACGCUCGCAUCCCUUCCACUCACGUUGGUCUCGUUUAAAUUCGAAUUUCUUUCGACGAUCCAUCAUUGUUCUUCGAUCUCUUUAAUCCUAACGCUUCGGAAUCGAAAACGACUCGUCGACUGUUCGUACUUCAGAGGCGAACCAGAGUUAGGUGCUUGUCGGUUUCACGUGGAAUAGCAAGCAGUGAGUUUAUAUCUCUAUUUACCUCUUUAUUAAGCAAAUGUUAUAUUUUGUAAAUAUAUAUGUAUAAGCAGCUUUUGAAUUGUUUUUGGCAUUGUGGAUUUGAUUUGGAACGUGCUACUUAAUGGGCAUCAUCGGGACUGCGUGCACACCGGUAAUGAUUAUGGUAUUGAGGUAGGUUUGAGAUACGUCUCACCUUAGUGAGGGCACCGGUGGAAGAUACGUCUCCUGGGCUCACUAUUUAUUAAGUGAUAGUCGGGGAUCGGUUAUUGAGAUACGUCUCACCGACACGACAAUGGAUUUAGAAUUAUGGUUUAGGGUUUCAUUGAUAAUCCAUAAUGAAAAUCUUUUUAUUAAACGUUUUUAAAGGUUUUCAACUUAAUAAAUGUAAAUGGUUAUAUAAACUCUACUCAGUAAAUCUGACCCCGUUGUUUUCCCAAAUUUUCCAGGUUUAUGAUUUGAGCAUUGGUCGAUCUCCGUUUCUUCAUUCUCGGAGGUUCCCUAUUUUAUUUUUCAGAAUAAAAGAGUCGAACUGUUUUAAACUCUUAGACCGCAGUAGUAUUAUUAGAUUAUUUA